AGCUAUACGAGAAAGCAAAGACUGAUGGUGUUGCCUUGUUUCUUCCCUUUCACUCAUCUGAAAGCUGCUGUGGAAAUUCUCCUGUACUCUGAAGAAAUUGUGACUGUACUAACACUCAGGAUUCACUCAGGUGAUAAUGUUCUUCUGCAAGUGACAAUUAACUCCAGCUGCUGAAACAUUGUGAAGAUUGAUUGUACAGAUGAAGAGUUACUUCUUGUGAUGAAACUCCAAUCAGUAGUCCAAAUACAGGAUUACUUCCAGCCUCUUUGUUCUGAGAACUGCUUCACUUACUACCACAUAGGCUUGAGCAUGCUGGUGGGAUUUGCCCCUCACAGGCAUUAGUUUGGUAGAUCAUUUUCAGGAUUGAUAGUUUUGUAAGCUCAAAGCAGUGGUGAACCUGAAGGGUCAGUGACAACAUAGCUGCAUGAUAAAGAGAUGCAAACAUAAAGGCAUUAUAUGAAAAAACAGUCU
rnacentral:lncRNA from 1 species